rfam:Fukomys damarensis contig123004, whole genome shotgun sequence.
GGGGAUUUAGCUCAGUGGCACUGCGCCUGCCUUGCAAGUACAAGGUCCUGAGUUCAAUCCCCAGUACCCCCA